UGUCAUACUGGAGAAUUUACAGGCUCGGAGCAAGGCUUUUGGGUGUAAAACUGUAAAACCUUUCUGCAACUGCGCAGUUUAAAAUUAGAAUCUGCCUUUUUUUUUUUUUUUUUUUUUUUUUAAGGAAAAGUCAUCAUAAAAGAAAGUCUGUGCCACUAUUUCGGGUCUGCUGAACUAGAAACUCCGUAGGUCGGAUAUCUGCAGAUGUUUAAAUGGGCAGAUGGUGACAGGACAAAGGUACAUACGCAUAUGGACUCACUCUCUGAAACAACCAUUGGAGAUAUCUGAGGGAGAACAAAGAGAGGAAUCUGGAUGUGGGCUGCCUACCUUAAGGGAAAAACGACCUGUCAUCCUCAGAACACUGAACAGGCACCCAGAAGCACAGUCUCCACAUUGCAGCUGAGCCUGGUUUUUUUCAGAGGAGCCCGAAGAUACCUAGAAAGAUAAAAGGCCAUCAGCAGAACACUGGUGGCCACCUACGAACAUCUACCGUCACAGGAACAUGUACUACCCUCACAGGCUACCUCUGCUCCGGAAAGGACUGAUAAGAAAAUUGAACAAUCGAGAUCUAAUUAAUAUCAGAGGCAAAGAGAUUCGGAUCCAAUGGAAAACUGAACACUAGAGGUUGCUCAACUCUAGACCAAUGUAGUUUGAGGCAGUGCAUCUCUAUGGGGUUUAACUGUAUAAAGUUUGGGGGAAAUCCUGCAAAAACAUGUCAUGGAAUUAUUCUUUCUGCACAGCCAGGCUAUGUGUGGAUGAGAUUAUUUCUGUGGUACAUCCUGGCCAGAUCAACAUCCUGGCCAGAAAAAAUCCCCUCCUUCUCCUUCCUUUCACAUAUUUUGCUCUCUUGAGUACCAGUCCUUAUCAUCUCUCUGGCAUCAAAUGGGACAAAAUUCCCUGAGAGAAAGAAAAAAAAGGAAAAAAUCCCAAUCUCCAGCAAUUUAAGAUACUAAAUAAAGUAUACUUAACACUUCAAAAGGGGUUCUAAUAUAUUUGUCUUUUUUUGCCCAUCAUUGCGAAGAAUCUUACAACAAACUAAAUAAUAUCCUCUCCACUUCUUAUAACUAAGUACUGUUUCCUGCAGAAAAGACAUUAAGUCUGCAUCAUUCCUGCCUUCUAUAAUUUGACUGCUUAGAUCACCUCCAACUCACUUCAAUCAACAGCAGAAUGAUUGACUGUUUCCUAGAUAAUUUUUCAAAGA